rnacentral:rRNA from 1 species
AACGAACGCUGGCGGCAUGCCUAACACAUGCAAGUCGAACGAGAUCUUCGGAUCUAGUGGCGCACGGGUGCGUAACGCGUGGGAAUCUGCCCUUGGGUUCGGAAUAACAGUUAGAAAUGACUGCUAAUACCGGAUGAUGACGUAAGUCCAAAGAUUUAUCGCCCAAGGAUGAGCCCGCGUAGGAUUAGCUAGUUGGUGAGGUAAAGGCUCACCAAGGCGACGAUCCUUAGCUGGUCCGAGAGGAUGAUCAGCCACACUGGGACUGAGACACGGCCCAGACUCCUACGGGAGGCAGCAGUGGGGAAUAUUGGACAAUGGGCGAAAGCCUGAUCCAGCAAUGCCGCGUGAGUGAUGAAGGCCUUAGGGUUGUAAAGCUCUUUUACCCGGGAUGAUAAUGACAGUACCGGGAGAAUAAGCUCCGGCUAACUCCGUGCCAGCAGCCGCAGUAAGAC